UACGGGGGGGGCAAGCGUUGUUCGGAUUUACUGGGCGUAAAGGGCGCGUAGGCGGUCGUGACAAGUCACUUGUGAAAUCUCCGGGCUUAACUCGGAACGGUCAAGUGAUACUGUCGGACUAGAGUACAGAAGGGGCAACUGGAAUUCUCGGUGUAGCGGUGAAAUGCGUAGAUAUCAGGAGGAACACCGGUGGCGAAGGCGGGUCUCUGGGCCGAUACUGACGCUGAGGAGCGAAAGCGUGGGGAGCGAACAGG
rnacentral:rRNA from 1 species